AGAAGUGGAUUAGUGGCGCACGGGUGAGUAAUGCAUAGGUUAUGUGCCCUUUAGUCUGGGAUAGCCACUGGAAACGGUGAUUAAUACUGGAUACUCCCUACGGGGGAAAGUUUUUCGCUAAAGGAUCAGCCUAUGUCCUAUCAGCUUGUUGGUGAGGUAAUGGCUCACCAAGGCUAUGACGGGUAUCCGGCCUGAGAGGGUGAUCGGACACACUGGAACUGAGACACGGUCCAGACUCCUACGGGAGGCAGCAGUAGGGAAUAUUGCUCAAUGGGGGAAACCACUGAAGCAGCAACGCCGAGUGGAGGAUGAAGGUUUUAGGAUUGUAAACUCCUUUUGUAAGAGAAGAUU
rnacentral:rRNA from 1 species